AUACAAUUAAAUACUACCACGGGC
rnacentral:siRNA from 1 species